GUGCCAGCCGCCGCGGUAAUACGUAGGUGGCAAGCGUUGUCCGGAUUUAUUGGGCGUAAAGCGAGCGCAGGCGGUUUCUUAAGUCUGAUGUGAAAGCCUUCGGCUCAACCGAAGAAGUGCAUCGGAAACUGGGAAACUUGAGUGCAGAAGAGGACAGUGGAACUCCAUGUGUAGCGGUGAAAUGCGUAGAUAUAUGGAAGAACACCAGUGGCGAAGGCGGCUGUCUGGUCUGUAACUGACGCUGAGGCUCGAAAGCAUGGGUAGCAAACAGGAUUAGAUACCCUGGUAGUCCAUGCCGUAAACGAUGAGUGCUAGGUGUUGGAGGGUUUCCGCCCUUCAGUGCCGCAGCUAACGCAUUAAGCACUCCGCCUGGGGAGUACGACCGCAAGGUUGAAACUCAAAGAAAUUGACGG
rnacentral:rRNA from 1 species